AGAACGCUGAAGAGAGGAGCUUGCUCUUCUUGGAUGAGUUGCGAACGGGUGAGUAACGCGUAGGUAACCUGCCUUGUAGCGGGGGAUAACUAUUGGAAACGAUAGCUAAUACCGCAUAACAAUGAAUGACACAUGUCAUUUAUUUGAAAGGGGCAAUUGCUCCACUACAAGAUGGACCUGCGUUGUAUUAGCUAGUAGGUGAGGUAACGGCUCACCUAGGCGACGAUACAUAGCCGACCUGAGAGGGUGAUCGGCCACACUGGGACUGAGACACGGCCCAGACUCCUACGGGAGGCAGCAGUAGGGAAUCUUCGGCAAUGGGGGCAACCUGACCGAGCAACGCGCGUGAGUGAAGAAGGUUUUCGGAUCGUAAAGCUCUGUUGUGAGUCAAGAACGAGUGUGAGAGUGGAAAGUUCACACUGUGACGGUAGCUUACCAGAAAGGGACGGCUAACUACGUGCCAGCGGCCGCGGUAAUACGUAGGUCCCGAGCGUUGUCCGGAUUUAUUGGGCGUAAAGCGAGCGCAGGCGGUUUGAUAAGUCUGAAGUUAAAGGCUGUGGCUCAACCAUAGUUCGCUUUGGAAACUGUCAAACUUGAGUGCAGAAGGGGAGAGUGGAAUUCCAUGUGUAGCGGUGAAAUGCGUAGAUAUAUGGAGGAACACCGGUGGCGAAAGCGGCUCUCUGGUCUGUAACUGACGCUGAGGCUCGAAAGCGUGGGGAGCGAACAGGAUUAGAUACCCUGGUAGUCCACGCCGUAAACGAUGAGUGCUAGGUGUUGGAUCCUUUCCGGGAUUCAGUGCCGC
rnacentral:rRNA from 1 species